UACGUAGGGUGCGAGCGUUGUCCGGAAUUAUUGGGCGUAAAGCGCGUGUAGGCGGCUUUGCAAGUCGGGUGUGAAAGCCCUCAGCUCAACUGAGGAAGUGCGCCCGAAACUGCAGAGCUUGAGUACCGGAGAGGAUGGUGGAAUUCCCCAAGUAGAGGUGAAAUUCGUAGAUAUGGGGAGGAACACCGGUGGCGAAGGCGACCAUCUGGACGGAUACUGACGCUGAGACGCGAAAGCGUGGGUAGCAAACAGG
rnacentral:rRNA from 1 species